GACAGAUCACAGCAAGCAGUGAAUAUUCUGUGUUGUCAUUUAUUUUCUUUUUUUUCGGUGAUGCGGGUUUCUUGACCAUCAUGGCCACUCUUUCCGGUGAACCAUGAGGGCCAGAUUUUUGGCUAUUUUCUCCUUCGGUUAUGGGCAGGAUGGGAUUUACAUUAACAGCCGGUUUGAGUUGAUGUACUGACUUCGGAGGCUCAACCAACUGGGCAGCAGGAAUCGCGUUGAAGCUGGAUUCGGAACCGUGCGCAUUUACGUAUCGGCAAAACGUUCUACCUGAACGUUGGACUGGGGGUGGAACGGGGCAGUGAUAACGAGGUCGAUACUUUUUUUUUAUCUGAGUUCCGUUAUCCGAUACCAGCUUCUCCGGCAUCCCCAGAGGGGCGUCCACCGGUUCCUUGACAGCAGCGAUACAGUUGGACUUGUUCGCUCGUAAUCAGCUAAGGUCAGUACCCAUAACUGCGGGCCACAACUUUCAUUCCGUUGAUUUCAGAGUGGCCUUGGUGGAAUUGUUUGAGACAUCGCUUGCGCAGGUCAGAAGGAACCACGAGGCGUUCGCAGAACAGGAUGCACCGUUGCAGAGUCACGAGUGAGUCGCUUUGAUUGUGGAACCGCUCGAGCUCACGGUCCUGCAGCGCUUUUGGUCAGCCUUCUUGGACGUAUCGGUAGCCCGGAUCCAUGAGGCUGCUAUCUCGUAUCGUAUUGGAGCUGAGGUGCAAAACGUCGAACGACUCGACCGCUGCUGAUUUGACGUCAUCCUCGAGUGUGUCCACGUACUAAUGUUUGAUUCACUUCCGGAAGUACGUGUUUUGGUAUAUUUCCAGCGAUUUUGAUGAUCUUGGCCGCGCGAAAACUUGCUUUUGAAGAUGAAACUUAAGACUGAUGUGGAACAGGUCCCCGAUGGAGCAAAAGGAAGUUGUUGAGAAGCUGACCAAACCUCGAAGUUUUUUUUUACGCAUCUACCUCGAUGUGUGCAUAUUUCCGCUGAGCACCUGCACCUGCUACAUGCCAAACCAAGGCUCAAGAUCGACGGCUUUCUGGAAGGUCGCCUGAAGAUCCGUGUGUAAGCUGGAAUUGGUCAAAUUCUACCAUUACACCCGCGUAGACACAUCUGAAUCUACAAGUAGUUCAUAAAAUGUAAUAUUCGCGCCUUCGGGGUUGGCCGACCGGAUCGCGUUACGGGCGUCGUUGAAGCCGAUUAAACAUCCCCUACCC